rnacentral:rRNA from 1 species
UCUGCCUGGUAGUGGGGGAUAACGUUCGGAAACGGACGCUAAUACCGCAUACGUCCUACGGGAGAAAGCAGGGGACCUUCGGGCCUUGCGCUAUCAGAUGAGCCUAGGUCGGAUUAGCUAGUUGGUGGGGUAAUGGCUCACCAAGGCGACGAUCCGUAACUGGUCUGAGAGGAUGAUCAGUCACACUGGAACUGAGACACGGUCCAGACUCCUACGGGAGGCAGCAGUGGGGAAUAUUGGACAAUGGGCGAAAGCCUGAUCCAGCCAUGCCGCGUGUGUGAAGAAGGUCUUCGGAUUGUAAAGCACUUUAAGUUGGGAGGAAGGGUUGUAGAUUAAUACUCUGCAAUUUUGACGUUACCGACAGAAUAAGCACCGGCUAACUCUGUGCCAGCAGCCGCGGUAAUACAGAGGGUGCAAGCGUUAAUCGGAAUUACUGGGCGUAAAGCGCGCGUAGGUGGUUUGUUAAGUUGGAUGUGAAAUCCCCGGGCUCAACCUGGGAACUGCAUUCAAAACUGACUGACUAGAGUAUGGUAGAGGGUGGUGGAAUUUCCUGUGUA